rnacentral:ncRNA from 2 species
GGUCACGAGUGCCAGCGAAGGGCGUGCACCGCACGCCCCCACAGCCCCGGCUUGCUGGCCGGCAACCCUCCUCCGCGUGGGGUGCCCCGGGUGACGACCUGGUCCUGCGCCGUCCGGUGCGGGGCAAGCGCGGGGG